GGGGACGUUUUGGUAUCGACAGGAAAGUGAACGGUUUAGUAAGCAUGCCGGAGUACGACAGCUCAUCUCCGUUAUCAAACGGCUAUCAACCUUUUCAAAUGGCAAUACUCAGUAUGCCAUGGCUGCCUAAUUCUAGGAAUUAGAAGCCAUUGUGCCUCGCGUUUGACGCCUAAUACACAACGCGGCUGCACAUCAACCAACCCCUUAGGCUAGCGAUCCGUCUUACUCUGAACGGUUAGCGAAAUUCAGGAGUUAAGGUCAGUGUACGGGAGGUUUUCCAAUCCUACCACUGGCUCGAAAAUCCAAAUUGGAAAAUAAGCAUGUAGAAAGCUCUAUCGUGCUUUGUCUGGACCCGAGUUCGAGUCUCGGCGUCUCCACAG
rnacentral:tmRNA from 1 species